AAGAGCGUAGUUUAAUGGGAAAAACGAUGCUUUCGUAACUCAUCAUGUGGGUUCAAUUCCCACCGCUCUUA